rnacentral:rRNA from 1 species
UACGUAGGGGGCAAGCGUUGUCCGGAAUCAUUGGGCGUAAAGAGCGUGUAGGCGGCCCGAUAAGUCCGCUGUGAAAGUCCAGGGCUCAACCCUGGAAUGCCGGUGGAUACUGUCGGGCUCGAAUCCGGAAGAGGUGAGUGGAAUUCCUGGUGUAGCGGCGAAAUGCGCAGAUAUCAGGAGGAACACCGGUGGCGAAGGCGGAUCUCUGGGCCUUACCUGACGCUCAGGUGCGAAAGCUAGGGGAGCGAACAGG